GACAGAGGGGGCAAGCGUUGCUCGGAAUUACUGGGCGUAAAGGGCGCGUAGGCGGGAUGGCAAGUCGGUCGUGAAAUCCUUCGGCUCAACCGAAGAACGUCGAUCGAUACUGCUGUUCUUGAGGGUUGCAGAGGAGACUGGAAUUCCCGGUGUAGCGGUGAAAUGUGUAGAGAUCGGGGAGGAACGACCGGUGGCGAAGGGCGGGUCUCUGG
rnacentral:rRNA from 1 species